GUGGGCGGGGCCAGGAAUUACAGCAGGUCGUUACUGUGAGACCAAGAGAAAGGGACAAAGGAAAACCGGACUACGGGGUGAGGGGCAAAGAUGACCUAGAAGUCAGCUCUCCUGCUGCCGGAGGGUGUCCCGGAGAGCAGUGAGCAUGCGCACACACAGGGUGCCGAUGUUGACCAAACUGUUCCACGAAGACCUGCCUGUUCACGCUGGCUACACCCAGCACAAAAGAAAAACAGCUCGGGGUUUCGGGGUUCGGUUCGAGUGAGAAGCUUUGGAAAGAGGAACUGGCCACAGAAAAGGAGCAUUUAGCAACGUGGGAGCUGUUAGUUACCGUGAGCAGUAAACCAGGUGUUGACUGGGUGACUAUUUUAAGUCUAAUUUAAUUUAGCACUUGGAUCAGGUGAGUGCUAUUUAUAAGGCGAGAUACGACCGAGGCCAGGGUGUUGGAGCCGGCGGGAGCCCCUGCAGCCUGUGGCUGUCGCGCAGUCAGCGCAGCUCCCAGGUCGGGCUCUGCCGCAGGAGGCCCGGCCCUGCCGCAGACCGUCGGCCAGCGCCGAGCGCUCCGAAGCCCUCAGCCCGCAGCUAACAGCUCUGCUGGAGCUCUUGAAUGAAGCCUCAGCCCCUGCUCUGCUGAGGCCUCUGCGUGGCUACAAGACGCGGGGCACAGAAUGCGCUGCGAGACCCAGGCUUUGUCCUGCUUGGCCUAACCCUUCAGGAGAGACGAGAUGAAAUGGUUCGUCCCGGCUGGGUGACCCCCCUUCCUCACACAGGCCUUUGGUAUCUUCCACUGGACACAAAGAACUGUCACACAGCCCCCUGAAUGGAGCCGGGACCGAGCUGAGCUUUGUGACAGCCCGGCGUGCCUGGAAACCUGUGCUUCGGCUCCCCAGGCAGGCCCAGGUUGCCUGUGGGGACUUUUUCCAGAACAAAUUGAAGAUGUCCCCUCUGACUUGAGAGGCAGCCGCUGUGACCAGAGCCCAGCAGAGCAGAGCCACAGGCCUGGCGGGAGGAGGGCCGAGGCCUGCAGAAUCCCACCAGCCACGAGCUGCCCACCAGGCAGCCAGGGGCCAGCAGGCCAGCAGCAGCCUCAGUAGAGGACGAUUUCUUCAAAGAGAACCAAAUGACACACAAAUCAGAGUGGAGCGUGCAAACCAGCCAGCUCUGCUGGAGAUGGCAGGGUGGCUUGGGGCUGGGUUCCUGAGAGCCAGGCUGUGGGAGAUGCGGUGGAGACGCAGGGAUCCAGUUGAGCCCUCCUGGAGCAGCAGUAAAUCUGGAGGCUAGCUAAGAGCUCACCCUCACCCCCACUCUGCAGGUAGAGACCUGGGACGCUGACCAGAUGGACACAGGCACGUCCAGAGGGAACUCAGCACCACACGCAAUGCUGGCGUCGUAAACAAGGCUAGCACAGCCAGCGUCUGGAACAGGCUGAGCGGGGCCCACCGCCUGGCAGGCAGCGUAUCAUUUCCUGAGCCUCCCUGGCGAGGUGCCCACCCCUCCCAUUAGCGCCGUCCCUCCCAGCCUGGCAAGGAGAUGGUGACACAUUCUAAAUUGGACCUGUCCCUUUUCUGUUUGUGAGAUGUGAGACUGCUCACAGGGGACCCAGCCCCACAUUCUGAUUGAGGGUCUGCCCAGGAUUCCAGGCCCAGAUAGCCAGGUGUGGAUGAGCUGGGACCGGGCCUCGGGAGGGUCCAGUGCUGCUUCAGUUGUCCCAGGGCAGGGGGGACAGGGAAAGGUUGGAGGCAGAGCAAUUCCAACUGAAGCUUUUCUCUUGCCCAGGAAAAGGCAAGCCCCUGACGCGUGUUUUUCCUUUGUCAUCUUUAAUUCAUUACCUGGCGGAGAUGAAACUGGAGGCCUAUGUUUUUUGAAGGGUUUUUUCUUUGUCAUCAAAUGGUGGGUCCUACGCUGAUUGAAGCCCUUGGAACAUCACUGUGAAAGGGCUGCCAUGUUGUGAAUGACCAGAGGAAGAUAAGGGACUAGAGUAAGUGACAGUUGUUAAAGGCUUGCUCCAAAGUGGGUUGUCAACAGGAAAAAGAGUCCCAUGGUCACUGAAGACUAGGAAAUGCUCAGUUUCUUUAUUGCAGGACUUCUCAGAGGAUUUAACGUACUAAUGUGCACUGUGACUCUUUUAGAAGGAAACAGAAAAUGAAGCAUUUCCUCAGCUUGUUAGACCACUUUGUGAGGAGACACUCAUGGGACCAGAAUUCCAUGGAAUACACUUUGGGAAACCCUUAGUGUCUGACCUAAUCAAUCUUUCCACUUUUAAGGUGACCGUUGGCCCAAUGUGGCCUGGACCUUGAAGCAUCUCUGGUUGCCUCUUAGCUGUCUGGUUGUCUGGAGAGACCUAAGGAGGAUUUGGAUCUGCCAUUUGGAGACAGCAGCAUGGGGGAAUCUCAGCACCUGCUCUGUCUUGUGAGUCCCCUCCCCACACCCUUACUUCGGGCCACUGUGCCUAGAAGAGAGGUGCUGGUUAUCAACGGUCCCCAGCAGCAAAGUGCCAGGCUCCGCUUUUUCUCUACACAGCGCCCCCACCAGCAAAGGGAUGACAAGCGCAUUGAUUUCCUUAGAUUAGGGGCCCCUACGAUUCAAGAACUUCACGUGUGUUUACAGCAGAGCCUGUCUGUGUGAACACCAGCCGUGCUUCCCCACAAGGAGCAGCACUAUUGGGGAAUUGCUGGCCAUGAACUCCAGGAUACUCAGCUACUUCACUGGGAGGGUCAUUCAUGGCAGGCAGGCAGUGCAAGAGAGUGAGGCCAAAAGGACCCCACCGGGAGCUGCAUAACUUCUGGGCUGGCAGGAAGAAAACUUGAAUGGGGGCGUCUCACUGCCAGCAGCUCCAUAAAACACUUAUGUACACGAGUGUACUUUGAAGCCCUCCCCAAAACCAGUCAUCGGCCAUCUCACAGAAGCUGCCUUUGGAAUGCUCUCACACCCGACCUCUUCUUAUUGCUUCUCCAGGUACACAAUUAUCCCCUUUGACCAAGCCUCAAGCAUCCUUCCAAGAGUGAUGUCAGCAGGAAUGAUGGAGUGAAGUUCUCUGAAAAUCGUCUCUUCCAUAAAAGCAAUGAGAACAAAUGGCAAAAAUCAAUAGAAUCAAUUUUUUCAGAACUAGGAAAAUUAACCAAAGGCUGGCAGCGAUUGGGAAGCUGAAAAAAAUGUCAUUUACCGGAAAAAAUGACAGAAUCUCAGUAAGAACAGCGAGCUCUAUGGUGUUUUAACUUGCCUCCUUCUCAUCCCCACUCCCCAGUUCCACGGUAGCCUUGAGAACCUACAGCCUGCAAUCUCAAUGCAAAGCAGCAGCUGGCAGGAAGGUCAAGGCCCCAUUCCCACACCUAUCUGUUCGUACCCUGGAAGACCCCACUUGCAAGACUUGUCUCUACUUGGCCUGACCUUGACCUGAGCUCGCCCAGUGCAAACCAUCUUUUCCUUUGCCUCCUUGGUGUUCCUUGAACAGCCAGGCACACUCUCAUCUCAGGGCCAUUACUGCUGCCUGGAGCGUCCUCGCUUUCACUCCCUACCUCCUUCAAGUCCUGGCUCAACCGUCACCUUCUCAGAGAGGCGCUCCCUGACCACACUGUUGUAAUUUGCAACCCCACCCAUGGGAAACUCCUAUUUCCCUUCCCUGCUUCAUUUGUCUCCAGAGCACUCGUCACUUCCUAACACGCUAUAUAUUUCAUUUAUUUAUUAGGCUUGUCAUAUGUCUCUCCCACUGGAAUGUAAGCCAACAUGAAGGUGGGCUUUUGUUUCCUUUCGUGCUCUAUCUCCAGCACCUAGAACAGUGCCAGGCACAAAAUUAGUGCUCAGUAUAUGUUUAUUAAAAGAAUAAAUGAAUGAAAGUUUGGAAAAGAACAUUGGCAGAAAUGCUGCACUAUCUUGUUAAGUUUAGCCUGAAGGUGCUUGGUAAUUAACUAUAAUACUAAAAAGAGACUGGAACUUAUUUGCAGGUGAAACUGGUCUCUGGGUCCUAAAUGAACUCUUCCAGGCCUAAAACCAAUAUUCUGCUUCCAUCAGCACCUCCAUGCUGGGCACACAACACAUUUUUGUUGAUUUAUUUGAGCCCAAAGUUUGGCCUUUCUCCAGGAAUUUAUAAGAAUACAGAAGUCCUCAGGAAUCCUUGUGACCCAUUGAAGGAAGAGAUUAUGUCUAAAGGAAGGUGACUUGUUUUUGUUUUGGUUUGAUUUGACAAACAAUCCCUUCAGAAGUGAUACCCUAAAUAAACGGGUUCCCUUGGAGGACAGCCUGCAUUCCAGCAAGAAUGCUAUAACUUUGCUUCUAGAAAAAUUUUCAUAGUGAGUAGGAUAUUUCUGUAAAAUCUUACACAACGGCAAAUUUUUACUUUUGGAAGGAGGGCUUGAUUUUGCAAAUGACUCAAAGUCCCUAAAAACAAAAUCUAGUGAGUCAAAUGGCUGAGCAGUUUGGAACCCCCUGAACGGGUCGACGUGUGAUGCGAGUUGAAGGUUGAGCGCUCACUGCUUUGCGGUCUCUGCUCCCAUCUUGGUGGUCUGUGCCCUGAGCCGCUGCUGCCGCUGGAGCGCUGGCAGCAUUCAAGCCUAAUCUUUCUCCUUGUACCUUGGGGUAGAGGGUUCCUUGGGACGAUGAGGGACACAGAGGUGGGGAUGACACCCUGACACCAGGUGGGCUUUGAGGGAGCAAAGGGUGGCAAGUUCUCUCCACGAGCCUCAGCAAGAGCUGUUGGCGGACAAUCAAAGGAAAGCUUUUUGUAUUUUGAAUAAAAAAACCACAGUGUUUUUCAGAUGCCAAUAACUUCCUGGUUUGUCCUGCAUAGUUCAAAGAAACGAGCUCGGGCCAUGUCUGUGUGUGGUUGACCAUACUGCUGGGGACAGACAAGCUGACCAGUACCCACCGUGAUCCCACAUCCUUCUACAUUUUUCAACCGUGCUCUGUAUUUCCAAGAUCCCAUAGUCUCCAAAAGACACUGAGUGCUGAGUGGGAAUGCUGGGGAAAUGGCUUCCCAGGAGACAAUAGAAACUGUCCCAAAACUAUAGUGAGCAGAGGAGUGCUAAGACUUCCUGUUUCUCCCUUCUCAGACUU